rnacentral:rRNA from 1 species
AGCAGCCGCGGUAAUUCCAGCUCCAAUAGCGUAUAUUAAAGUUGCUGCAGUUAAAAAGCUCGUAGUCGAAUUUCGGGAUCAAUAUGUCGGUCGUGCCUCGGUACGUACUGGCUUAUUGGUUUCUCCCUUCUGACGAACCAUGAUGUCAUUAAUUUGGUGUCAUGGGAAAUCAGGACUGUUACUUUGAAAAAUUAGAGUGUUUAAGGCAGGCUCACGCUUGAAUACAUUAGCAUGGAAUAAUGAAAUAGGACGUUUGAUUCUAUUUUGUUGGUUUCUAGGAUCGACGUAAUGAUUAAUAGGGAUAGUUGGGGGCAUUAGUAUUCAAUUGCCAGAGGUGAAAUUCUUGGAUUUAUUGAAGACUAACUACUGCGAAAGCAUUUGCCAAGGAUGUUUUCAUUAAUCAAGAACGAAAGUUAGGGGAUCGAGG